rnacentral:lncRNA from 10 species
AUUCUCUCUCUUGCUUGCCACCAAUGUUAAGGUCUGCCUUUCACCUUCCGCCAUGAUUGUGAGGCCUCCCCAGCCACGUGGAACUAUGAGUCCAUUAAGCCUCUUUUUCCUGAUGAAUUACCCAGCCUCAGGUAUGUAUUUAUCAGCAGCAUGAAAAAAGACUAAUACAGAGAAGAUCCAUGACCACUACUCUCAGUUUGUGAACCUCCAUCAACUCAGCAGACCAUCAAAGCCUCAUCUACUUCAAUGGCAAACAAUGUGUAUCUCAUGUUGAACAGGAUGGAAGCCUGCUUCAUUAAGGAAAGCACUACAUUAGGAUCUGGUUUGUGCUGUAGGAGCUUAUGUAGAGCCUCAAAAUGGAAACACACUGAACUCAGCCAUGGAAAGCCUUGUGGAACAGGCUUUGUAUCAGUUGAAGACAAGUGAUAAGAGAAGACUAAUGUUUCUACUCAUGUACAAAGGUACUUUGAUGUUGAUACUGCUUAUGUACAGGUUGAUGCCAUGGCAGGAAAGCAAAGAUUUUGACCUUUGCUGCCCAAUAUGGCAACCACUAGCCACAUAUGUCCACUGAACACCUGAAAUGUGAUUAGUACAACAUAUUAAAAAGGAUAUUUCAUAUCUUAAUGAUAUAGUCAAGUUUUUUUAGUGUUAAUGGGAGUUCUGCAAUGGAGGAUUCCCUCAAUGAAGGAGCUCGCUGAAGGAAGUUAUAAAAUCCAUGACUUAAUAAUGGAGAUACUAUUUUUCUUGAACGUAAACAAUCUUCAUGUUUGCCACUUGCAAUGGACUGAAUUAUGUCUCUCCCAAAUUGAUGUAUUGAAGCUCUAACUCUCAAAGUGAUUCUAUCUAAGGAUAGGAUAUUUAAAAGCGAGAACACAGUGAGUGAGAAGGUGGCCAUCUGCAAACAAGGGAAAGAGCUCUCAUCAGACCUCAACACACCGGCAUUCUGAUUUCGGACUUCCAGCCACCCAAACCAUGAGAAAAUAAAUUUCUGUUAUUUAAGACAUCCAGGGUAUGGUAUUUUGUUAUAGCUGACUAAUACCAAGCUGAGUAAUCCUGAGCUGAAUAAUACUCAACUUCUAGGCUAGUUCAUAAAAGCAUGAAUAAAUACUCAACUUCUAGGCCAACUUCUAGGCCUAGUUCAUAAAAGCAUGAAUAAAUACUCAACUUCUA